UGGGGAAUAUUGGACAAUGGGGGCAACCCUGAUCCAGCCACGCCGUGUGGGUGAUGAAGGUCUUCGGAUCGUAAAGCCCUGUCGGGAGGAGAGAUGCCUUUGUUGGCUAACAUCCAACAGAGGUGACGGUACCUCCAAAGGAAGCACCGGCUAACUCUGUGCCAGCAGCCGCGGUAAGACAGAGGGUGCAAGCGUUGUUCGGAAUCAUUGGGCGUAAAGCGCACGUAGGCGGUUUUGUAAGUCAGAUGUGAAAGCCCAGGGCUCAACCCUGGAAGUGCAUCUGAUACUGCAUGACUUGAGUCUCGGAGAGGGUGGUGGAAUUCCUGGUGUAGAGGUGAAAUUCGUAGAUAUCAGGAGGAACACCGGUGGCGAAGGCGACCACCUGGACGAAGACUGACGCUGAGGUGCGAAAGCGUGGGGAGCAAA
rnacentral:rRNA from 1 species